rnacentral:lncRNA from 1 species
AUGGAGAUGGAUAGUAUUUUUCUGACAUUUCACAUUUGACCAAUUCCUUAAAAUUAGGAAGUUUUGUUAAAAUUUGACUAAAGUAUAAAGAAAUUGUUUAAUCAAUUAUUUUUAGUUUUAAAAAUUUUAGAAUGAAAAUGUUAUAGAACCUAUUAUUUAACUCAUAAAUUAAAUGAUUAUAUAGUAUAGAUUAGUUGUUAUAUUCUUCUUUAAUCACUUGUACAUUAAAGCAUUAUCGACUUGUACCUUUUAAUCCGUGCGUCGAUAUUGAACAAGACAACUACCGAAACGUCGACAAAAAUGUGUAGGUCGUCAUGCUAUCUUUGGAAUUUUUUUAAACAGUAUAGUUUAUAAAAUAUGUCAAGAAUACGUAAAAAAAUUAUAAGUUUGUUGUGGAGGGGUGAAUUGUAACUAAUUAUCUAUAAUUUUGUUAAAACCUCAGGGAUGUUUAGAGGCUAAAAAAUAAAUAGUGUUUAAAAGACCAAACUACCCUCAUUUUAGGGGUCUUUCUAUAAAUAAGGGGGGAGGGGGAAGUUCUUAUUUUUUGGGUAUCUUAAAAUACGUCUCCCUCAUGCAUUAUAAUAUAGUAUAGAUAAGAUAU